GUUGGACGCGGGCUGGGUUCGGACAGAAAUAUGUGGCCCGAACCGCACUCUAGUGUGUGUGUGUGAGUGUGUGUAGUGUGUGUGUGUGUGUGUGUGUGUAAUGUGUGUGUGUGU